rnacentral:rRNA from 1 species
UCAAGCGAAUAAGUGCAUGUGGUGGAUGCCUUGGCGAUUACAGGCGAUGAAGGACGUGGCAGCCUGCGAAAAGCUGCGGGGAGCUGGCAAAUGAGCAUUGAUCCGCAGAUAUCCGAAUGGGGAAACCCGGCCCGCAAGGGUCACUCCGAUCUGAAUAUAUAGGAUUGGUAGAGCGAACCCGCUGAACUGAAACAUCUAAGUAAGCGGAGGAACAGAAAUCAACCGAGAUUCCGGCAGUAGCGGCGAGCGAACCCGGACCAGCCAGUGCGAUGUAACUUGUGCUCUAGCAAAACGGCAUGGAAAGGCCGGCCAUAGUGGGUGAUAGUCCCGUAUGCGAAAGGGCAUGAGUGAAACUAGGCGCACAACAAGUAGGGCGGGGCACGUGGAAUCCUGUCUGAACAUGGGGGGACCAUCCUCCAAGGCUAAAUACUCGUAAUCGACCGAUAGUGAACUAGUACCGUGAGGGAAAGGCGAAAAGAACCCCGGGAGGGGAGUGAAAUAGAUCCUGAAACCGCAUGCAUACAAACAGUAGGAGCCCCUCCUUUAAUGGCCUUCGAGGGCUUUGGCGCGGUCGCGCAGCGACGGCGUCAAAAGUGGGUCAGAAGGAGUGAAAGUGACCUCUCCGGGAAAGCGAAGAGAGGGCCAUUAGAGGAGGGGUGACUGCGUACCUUUUGUAUAAUGGGUCAGCGACUUACAUUCAUUGGCGAGCUUAACCGGAUAGGGCAGGCGCAGCGAAAGCGAGUCCGAACAGGGCGAUUCAGUCGAUGGGUGUAGACCCGAAAGCGGAUGAUCUACUCAUGGCCAGGUUGAAGCGGGGGUAACACCUCGUGGAGGACCGAACCAACUAACGUUGAAAAGUUAGUGGAUGAGCUGUGGGUAGGGGUGAAAGGCCAAACAAAUCCGCAGAUAGCUGGUUCUCUCCGAAAACUAUUUAGGUAGUGCCUCGUGUAACACCUUUGGGGGUAGAGCACUGUUUUGGCUAGGGGGUCAUAUCGACCUACCAAACCAAGGCAAACUCCGAAUACCGAAGAGUGCAUUCACGGGAGACAGUGCACCGGGUGCUAACGUCCGGACACGAGAGGGAAACAACCCAGACCGCCAGCUAAGGUCCCGAAUAUAUGACUAAGUGGUCAACGAGGUGAGAAGGCCCAGACAGCCAGGAGGUUGGCUUAGAAGCAGCCAUCCUUUAAAGAAAGCGUAAUAGCUCACUGGUCGAGUCGUCUUGCGCGGAAGAUGUACCGGGGCUCAAGUCAUAAACCGAAGCUGCGGGUUCAGAUGUCCUUCGGGGCAUUUGAGCGGUAGGAGAGCGUUCCGUAGGUCUGUGAAGGUGACUCGAGAGGGUUGCUGGAGAUAUCGGAAGUGCGAAUGCUGACAUGAGUAGCGAUAAAGGGGGUGAAAGGCCCCCUCGCCGAAAGCCCAAGGUUUCCUGCGCAACGUUCAUCGGCGCAGGGUGAGUCGGUCCCUAAGGUCAGGGCGAAAGCCGUAGCUGAUGGGAAUCUGGUUAAUAUUCCAGAACCGCUAUGUAAUGCGAUGGGGGGACGGAGAAGGUUAGGCAGACCGGGUGUUGGACGUCCCGGUGAAGUGUGUAGGCGGAUCCCUUAGGCAAAUCCGGGGGAUUGUUAACGCUGAGGCACGGGACCAGUGGAGCUUGCUCCGCGAAGCUGCUGAUACCCUGCUUCCAGGAAAAGCCUCUAAGCUUCAGUUACAUAGUGACCGUACCGUAAACCGACACAGGUGGGCGGGAAGAAUAUUCUCAGGCGCUUGAGAGAACUCAGGAGAAGGAACCGGCAAAUUGACACCGUAACUUCGGAAGAAGGUGUGCCCUGUUAGGGUGAAGGGACUUGCUCCCCGAGCGCGAGAGGGUUGCAGAGAAUCGGUGGCUGCGACUGUUUAUUAAAAACAUAGCACUGUGCUAACACGAUGAGUGGACGUAUACGGUGUGACGCCUGCCCGGUGCCGGAAGGUUAAGUGAUGGGGUGCAAGCUCUUGAUCGAAGCCCCGGUAAACGGCGGCCGUAACUAUAACGGUCCUAAGGUAGCGAAAUUCCUUGUCGGGUAAGUUCCGACCUGCACGAAUGGCGUAACGAUGGCCACACUGUCUCCUCCUGAGACUCAGCGAAGUUGAAAUGGUUGUGAUGAUGCAAUCUACCCGCGGCUAGACGGAAAGACCCCGUGCACCUUUACUGUAGCUUUGCAUUGGACUGUGAUGGAAUUUGUGUAGGAUAGCUGGGAGGCUUUGAAGUGGGGGCGCCAGCUCUCAUGGAGCCGACGUUGAAAUACCAGCCUGAUUGUAUUGCGGUUCUAACCCAGGUCCCUUGAACGGGAUCGGGGACCGUGCAUGGUAGGCAGUUUGACUGGGGCGGUCUCCUCCCAAAGAGUAACGGAGGAGUUCGAAGGUUCGCUAGGUACGGUCGGACAUCGUGCUGAUAGUGCAUUGGCAAAAGCGAGCUUGACUGCGAGACUGACGGGUCGAGCAGGUGCGAAAGCAGGACAAAGUGAUCCGGUGGUUCUGUAUGGAAGGGCCAUCGCUCAACGGAUAAAAGGUACGCCGGGGAUAACAGGCUGAUCUCCCCCAAGAGUUCAUAUCGACGGGGAGGUUUGGCACCUCGAUGUCGGCUCAUCACAUCCUGGGGCUGUAGCCGGUCCCAAGGGUAUGGCUGUUCGCCAUUUAAAGUGGUACGCGAGCUGGGUUUAGAACGUCGUGAGACAGUUUGGUCCCUAUCUACCGUGGGCGUUGGAAGUUUGAGGGGGGCUGCUCCUAGUACGAGAGGACCGGAGUGGACGUAGCCCUGGUGUACCGGUUGUGACGCCAGUUGCAUUGCCGGGUAGCUAACUACGGAAGAGAUAACCGCUGAAAGCAUCUAAGCGGGAAACUCGCCUCGAGAUGAGACUUCCCUGGGGGUUAACCCCACUGAAGGGUCGUUGCAGACGACAACGUUGAUAGGCCGGGUGUGGAAGCGCAGCAAUGCGUUGAGCUAACCGGUACUAAUUGCCCGUGCGGCUUGACCCU